rnacentral:rRNA from 1 species
GUGGCGCACGGCUGAGUAACACGUGGGAACCCGCCCCCCGGUGGGGGAUAACGCGACGAAAGUCGCGUAAUCCCGCAUACGUCCGCAGGGGGAAAGCGCUUCGGCGCGCCGGGGGAGGGUGCCUGCGUCCAUCAGGUCGUUGGUGGGGUAACGGCCUACCAAGCCGAUGACGGGUAGCUGGUCUGGCAGGAUGACCAGCCAGACUGGGACUUAGACACGGCCCAGACUCCUACGGGAGGCAGCAGCAAGGAAUUUUCGGCAAUGGGCGCAAGCUGGACCCAGCAACGCCGCGUGCGGGAUGACGGCCUUCGGGUUGUAAACCGCUUUUCGGGGGGACGAUGAUGACGGUACCCCCGGAACAACCCCGGCUAACUCUGUGCCACCAUCCGCGGUAAGACAGAGGGGGCGAGCGUUGUCCCCAGUCACUCGGCGUAAAGCGCGCGAGCGGUCGCCAAAUGUCGUGUGAAAGCCCCGGCUCAACCGGGGAGGCAUGGAAACUGGCGACCUGGAGCGCCGGAGAGGCCCUGAAUUGCCGGUGUAGCGGUGAAAUCGUAGAGAUUGGCAGGACGCCAAGGGGAAGCCAGGGGGCUGGCCGCUGGUGACGCUGAGGCGCGACAGCGUGGGGUAGCGAACCGGAUUAGAUCCCCGGGUAGUCCACGCCGUAAACGAUGACCACUCGGCGUGCGGCGACUAUUGACGUCGCGGUGCGCCUUAGCUCACGCGCUAAGUGGUCCGCCUGGGAACUACGAGCGCAAGCUUAAAACUCAAAGGAAUUGACGGGGGCCCGCACAAGCAGCGGACCGUGUGGUUUAAUUCGAGGCAACCCGAAGAACCUUACCCAGGCUUGACAUGACGGUGCACACGGCGCAAACGCCGUCGCCUGCGAGGGGCCGU